rnacentral:rRNA from 1 species
AUAAUGACUCUCGGCAACGGAUAUCUCGGCUCUCGCAUCGAUGAAGAACGUAGCGAAAUGCGAUACUUGGUGUGAAUUGCAGAAUCCCGCGAACCAUUGAGUCUUUGAACGCAAGUUGCGCCCGAAGCCAUUAGGUUGAGGGCAUGCCUGCCUGGGCGUCUCACA